UUGUACUACUGUAAAAUAUUAUAGCCUACUUGAAAAAGGCUUCCCCAUCAAAUCAAAGUAAUUCUAGCAUAACCGCGGAGCCAUUUUGUUGUCAUGUGACAAGAAAACCAUAAAAUAUAGAAGACCCUGUUAGGCAAUCGUGACAUUUUUAGGCAGAUAUUCUCAGAUCAAACUGUACAAGUGGCACAAGAAAAAGAAUUUUAGUAACCUCUAUACUGUUACAACACAGGUAAAGGCCCAGGUUUUUUAAUGUUCAACAUGAUGUUCUAAUAUUUGACCCUUAUACGUCAGCAAGAGAAAACGGCAUCAUCGGAAAUCAAGACUUGGUAACAAAUAAAUCUCGUGCACAUCCUACAAUUAUAACUAUUUAUAACUAUAUACAUAAAUGCAAUUAUUGUCAAUAACUUUUCUCUUGAAAAGAAAAGAAAAGAAAAGAAAAGAAAAGAAAAGAAAAGGAGGUAGAAGACCAAUGCCCUAAACCUGCUGAUUUGAUAGCGUCCAACAAAAAUAGAAACAGGGAACCGAAGGCCAGAGACACUUGAAGCGAAGUCGUGAUUUCCGCGAGGAGGGGGGCUCAUGAGGGGCGCUGAGAGACCGCGGAUGAGGGGACUUGAUGUCAAUGAUUUUUUCCCCUCCUUACCGGGAAAGUGAACAACACCCGCGAGCGUCGAGCUACUGUUGAAAAAGUUUCUGCGUGUCUCGAGUCUGAUGCGCGCGCCUUCCCAGUGUUCUGAAUGCGGGUGGAAAAAAAGAAGAGAAUAAAUCGAUCACCUUGUACGCGUUGCCGAGGUCGCGUUUCACCGAAGGAGCAAAGUGCUUUUGUUGUUUGGUAAGUGUGGUCCGUCAUCCCUCUAUAGCUCGCCUUGAAAAGGACAUUAACAACUUAAAAUCACCACAGUUGCAAGCAGGACUGACUCAGCUAUACUUUAUGAUUGGAAAUCUUUGCUGAUCCUCUUUCAUGUAAGGUUUGGUGUUUAUGGCCUGCUGAUUAGUGAAGCCUGUGUCCCCAAAUUAUGUCUCAAACUCAUAAUUAAUAUUAGACAUUGUAUUGUAAAUUAUGAGAGGCUGCUUUUAUUUAUUUAUUUUAGAGUUUUGUCUUUAACCUUUAGCAAUAAUAGGAGACUGGACUACCAUAAAAGUCUCAUCUUUUCCUUAUUUGUAAAAAUAUUUUAAAAAUCAUCUUUUCAAUAAGAAUAAGAAAAAUAUUUCAUUUUAUGUAAUUUCUGUAUUUUGUGUUUUGGUCUCAUAUAGGUGGAUUUAAAUGCUAUGUGGUUACAUAAUGAUUCAAAUAUAUGAAAAUAAUAAAGAAAAAUAUUCAAAUUACUUAAAGUGGAAGUUAAAAUUAAAAUUGGUUCAUCAAAAA